rnacentral:misc_RNA from 1 species
GGUUCUUUAUUGUUUCCUUUUGAAUGAUGCUUUCAUAUUAUCUUUUCAGUGGCAUUUUUGUUUUGUUUUUGGAUGGUUGCUACAUGCAAAUGUGUACUAGCAACCAUUUUCCAUUAGCAUUUAGUUUUGAUGGAUUCUGAUGCAUUAUUUAAAUUAAUUAAUAGUUUUUGUUUGCAUAAAAUUUGCAGAAAUUGCAAAUAUGAAAAACUUGAGAAACAGGAAUUAUACCAGAUUGUUUUGCGUGUGCCAAAUUUUUAUGCAUGGAUGCAUGCUAUUUUACACUUAUUUUUCAUCUAGAUACUGUUAAUUUGUUUUUCUCCUUUGGCUAAAUUACAUUGACUACCACAUAGAAAUAGAUAUAAUUAAAUUACGCUAGCAAUCCCUAUUUUGCAAAACAUAUUGAAAUCACUCAUAAUGAAUUUAUAAUAAAUAAUAUUUUCUCAAAAGUAAACUGUCAUAGCCUGUUCAUGGGCAAUAGUGUACUGUUUAGUUGCAGUGAUAGCUGGACAGAUUUUUAUGCUACAAAUUUAUUUUAGGGGUUGUUUUCAUAUAUUUUCAAAAAUGGAGUUUGAUCAAGACUGCUGCUGGGUUGAUUGGUGUAAUUCAUCCUUUUCGUUAUAGCAAUACUGCAAUAGUUCUAGGCCUUUAGCUAUCAGUUACAAUAUCUAGAUGGUAAGGGUUAAUUGUGAAAGUUGGCAAUAUGGUGUUUCCUUGUCCUUGCAUAGUGUUUCAUUUCUUUCACAACUUUGAAUUUCUCCCCAGAUACUUCCAUCUUACCUCGAAGUCUUUGGAGCUUCUUUUUUUUGAGCUACGUUAUAAAUGUUUUAGGAUAUUCAGCCUCAGUUCUAAACGUUUAUUGCAGUAGCAAGUAGCAGGAUUAUUUCUCUUCUUUAACCUAAAGCCUUACGAAACUAAACAUUUUUUUUAACUAGUCUAUUAGGAUAGAAAAGCCUAUGCAUCUUUUGUAAAGAUUAGAAAUGGGAGAAAAAGGUAAUAAAACAAUGUGCUGGUUCAUUUUAGAAUCAGGCUUUUUGGACUAAAUCCUCAUUUAACUGCUUUUGCCUAGAAUUCUUAUAGUAAUAUUACAACAAAGCCAUCUUGCUUUUCUCAAGUUUUUUGCAGGCUAUCUUAUUUGUGAAGGGUAAACAGACAAUCUGGGUGAACAGUUGGGCUGAUGUUUAAGUACUUACAAAAGACAAUGUUGAUAUGUGUCCUGCUUGAUGCUAUUUCCAUUAAUUCAUCUGUAUUUUGCUUUCACUUAAUAAUUCUCACAUAUAGAUCAGAAAAUUACUGAAC